GGAAUCUUGGUCAAUGGGCGCAAGCCUGAACCAGCGAUGCCGCGUGAGUGAUGAAGGCCUUCGGGUUGUAAAGCUCUGUGGGGAGGGACGAAAUCCUCGGUUCUAACAGGACUGAAUGUGACGGUACCUCCUUAGCAAGCACCGGCUAACUCUGUGCCAGCAGCCGCGGUAAGACAGAGGGUGCAAACGUUGCUCGGAAUCACUGGGCGUAAAGGGCGCGUAGGCGGGGAUGUAAGUCGGGCGUGAAAUCCCCAGGCUCAACCUGGGAACUGCACUCGAAACUGCGUUUCUUGAGUAUCGGAGAGGAAAGCGGAAUUCCUGGUGUAGAGGUGAAAUUCGUAGAUAUCAGGAGGAACACCAGUGGCGAAGGCGGCUUUCUGGACGGUAACUGACGCUGAGGCGCGAAAGCGUGGGGAGCAAAC
rnacentral:rRNA from 1 species